ACUCCCGUAGCCUGGGCGUCCCCAAAGGAUUCUGGGAGCUGUAGUUUGAGAGCAGACCCUGAUUCCCCUUGCAGAUCCCUUCAGGCAACCUGGGAACUGUAGCUUCCUAUGUGGGCAGAGAAUAUUCCCUGCAGCCUUUCCCAAGGGGACUCUAGGACUUGUACUUCUGAGAGGGUCUCCUGGACACCCUGAGCAAGCUACACUUCCCAGCAUGCUGGGGACUGCAUUGAGGGUUGUGAUACCCUGCACAGAACUACGGUUCCCAAAACAGGUCUAAAAGCCCAUUCCUCUUCCUAGAUAACUCUGGGAACUGUAGCUCGGUGGGGGAAACAGCCCUUGGUGUCCUAAAUAAACUAUACAGUAGUUCCCACGAUUUCUGCCAAAUGAUCCUGGGAAUUGUAGUUCAGGGAAGGGAACUAGCAGCCUCCAAACAACUCCUGGCGCCCUGAACAAACUACAGUUGCCAGGACUUUCCCAAAGCAUCCUGGUAGCCCACUCUGGUAAGUGCAGUUCCUUUGGGGGUAAAUCACAAACUCCCAGCACGCUGAAUAUGCAUCAUUCUGCAUUUCCCUUUGGACUCGUCACUAGAUGGAGCCAGAGGAGGGACAGAGGACUGGCCCCCGUUCUACAGUUUUGUUUUCUUUCCCUGCAGGCCUCCCAGCUGUCUGGAUUUCUUCCGCCACCACCCUCAUAAAAAAACAUGGAUUUUUAAAAGAUG